rnacentral:rRNA from 1 species
AGCCAUGCAUGUCUAAGUACAUACCUUAAUACGGUGAAACCGCGAAUGGCUCAUUAAAUCAGCUAUGGUUCCUUAGAUCGUAAACGCUACAUGGAUAACUGUAGUAAUUCUAGAGCUAAUACAUGCCAUUAUGCCCUGACCCGCAAGGGGACGGGUGGAUUUAUUAGAACAGAACCAACCGGGGGCGGUUUCGGCUGUCCCUGUUGCAUUCUGUGAUGACUCUGGAUAACUUUACUGAUCGCAGUCGGCCUUGUGUCGGCGACGGAUCUUUCAAAUGUCUGCCCUAUCAAUUUGUUGGUAGGUGAUCUGCCUACCAUGAUAAUAACGGGUAACGGGGAAUCAGGGUUCGAUUCCGGAGAGGGAGCCUGAGAAAUGGCUACCACAUCUAAGGACGGCAGCAGGCGCGAAAAUUACCCACUCCCGGCACGGGGAGGUAGUGACGAAAAAUACGGAUACGGGACUCAAUUGAGGCUCCGUAAUUCGAAUGAGUACAAUUUAAAUCCUUUAACGAGGACCAAUUGGAGGGCAAGUCUGGUGCCAGCAGCCGCGGUAACUCCAGCUCCAAAAGCGUAUAUUAAAGUUGCUGCAGUUAAAAAGCUCGUAGUUGAAUCUGGGUCGUGCGGUCGCAUGCCGUUGCUCGUUCACGGUUCUUGGUUACGAUCGAGGCUUGUGUUCGGCUCGGUGUAGUGGCUGUGCAGCCUUUCAGCCGUGUCUGUGUUAAACGGGUGCUGAUGGGUUGAUGAGCUUGUCUUGUCGGCCUGUUGGCAUGCUUCCGGAUGCCUUUAAACGGGUGUCGGGAGCGGACGGCAUCUUUACUUUGAACAAAUUUGAGUGCUCAAAGCAGGCCUAUGUGCCUGAAAAUUCUUGCAUGGAAUAAUGAAAUAGGACUUCGGUUCUAUUUUGUUGGUUUUCAAAACCCA